rnacentral:rRNA from 1 species
UAGGGAAUAUUGCACAAUGGGCGCAAGCCUGAUGCAGCCAUGCCGCGUGUGUGAAGAAGGCCUUCGGGUUGUAAAGCACUUUCAGCGAGGAGGAAGGCAGUCGUGUUAAUAGCACGAUUGAUUGACGUUACUCGCAGAAGAAGCACCGGCUAACUCCGUGCCAGCAGCCGCGGUAAUACGGAGGGCGCAAGCGUUAAUCGGAAUUACUGGGCGUAAAGCGCACGCAGGCGGUUUGUUAAGUCAGAUGUGAAAUCCCCGCGCUUAACGUGGGAACUGCAUUUGAAACUGGCAAGCUAGAGUCUUGUAGAGGGGGGUAGAAUUCCAGGUGUAGCGGUGAAAUGCGUAGAGAUCUGGAGGAAUACCGGUGGCGAAGGCGGCCCCCUGGACAAAGACUGACGCUCAGGUGCGAAAGCGUGGGGAGCAAACA